UAAGGAAUAUUGCUCAAUGGGAGAAAUCCUGAAGCAGCAACGCCACGUGGAGGAUGAAGGGUCUAUGACUUGUAAACUCCUGUAAAGAAGGAAAAAAUUCCCAUUUGAUGGGAGAUGAUGGUACUUCUGGAGUAAGCCCCGGCUAACUACGUGCCAGCAGCCGCGGUAAUACGUAGGGGGCAAGCGUUGUCCGGAUUUACUGGGUGUAAAGGGUGCUCAGGCGGAUUUGUAAGUCAGAGGUGAAAUCUUACAGCUUAACUGUGAAACUGCCUUUGAUACUGCAAGCCUAGAGUAUGGAAGAGAGUGAUGGAAUAUCUGGUGUAGCAGUGAAAUGCGUAGAUAUCAGAUAGAACACCGAUGGCGAAGGCAGUCACUUGGUCCAUUACUGACGCUAAAGCACGAAAGCGUGGGUAGCAAACA
rnacentral:rRNA from 1 species